CAGCCGCCGCGGGAAUACGAAGGGUGCAAGCGUUACUCGGAAUUACUGGGCGUAAAGCGUGCGUAGGUGGUGGUUUAAGUCCGUUGUGAAAGCCCUGGGCUCAACCUGGGAAUUGCAGUGGAUACUGGAUCACUAGAGUGUGGUAGAGGAUAGUGGAAUUUCCGGUGUAGCAGUGAAAUGCGUAGAGAUCGGAAGGAACAUCUGUGGCGAAGGCGACUAUCUGGGCCAACACUGACACUGAGGCACGAAAGCGUGGGGAGCAAACAGGAUUAGAUACCCCAGUAGUCCCUGUCUCUUAUAC
rnacentral:rRNA from 1 species